GCCGAGAAACCCCGGCCCCGGCGAAGCCCCGCCCCCCGCCCGAGCACCCGCCAAUGGCAGCGCGCGGUGCGGCGCGCCGAGGUGGGACGACGGCGACGCGUUGAGGAGGCGGCGCGCUGAGGCGGCGCGCUGAGGUUUCCCUCCUGGAGAUGCCCCGCCGCAGUUGCGCUAGUGGCCCUAAGAGAAAAAGGAGUUGGGAUAUAGAAUGCCCAUCCUUUCCAGGAGAAAGACCACUGCAGUUCCGAAAAGCAGGACUCAGGACAUCUGGGGGAGCUGCCUCCCUCUCUGAAGCAUGGCUUAGGUGUGGAGAAGGAUUUCAGGACACUUCUGGGACUCUGUCAUUAACAGCUGAAGAGAAGACGACUACAGUAAAGCACCUUGAAUUAUCACCUAGACCCAAGCAAGAAACCAGCACAUCUAAGAGCACCAAUGAGCUUACAGACAUUACAUGGAGUUCCAGUGGAAGUGAUUUGUCAGAUGAAGAUAAGACACCUUCUAAACUACAGAGAGAUAAUGGACAUGGCUCUAGAAUAAACAGAUUUUGUAAGAGGAGCAUUUUGUGUCCAGAAGAUGGGGCCAGUGAAGAUGAAUUACAGUUUAUUGACUGGGAGAUCGACAGUGACAGGGCAGAUGCUAGUGACUGUAAUGAAUUUGAAGAUGGCGAGGGUGCUGUGGAAAUCUCAGACUGUGCUUCUUGUGCGAGUAGUCGGUCUUUGACAAGUGAUGAGAAGCUAUCUGAGUUUCCCAAGCUAAGUUCUAUAGAAAUUUUAGAAUAUUCAUCAGAUAGUGAAAAAGAAGAUGACUUGGAAAAUGUCCCACGCAUUGAUUCAGAAUCCCCUCACAAAUACCACAUGGAGUUGGCAUCGGAUGCAAGACAGAUUAUGGAGGGACUGAUAGACCCAAGGACAAAAUCAAGAGAGACCAUCUUGCAUACACCCCAGAAACCCACAACUAAGUUUCCCAGGACUCCAGAAAAUUCAGCAAAGAAGAAGCUUUUAAGAGGUGGACUAGCAGAAAGAUUAAAUGGACUGCAGAAUCGAGAGAGAUCUUCCAUUUCUUUGUGGCGACAUCAAUGUAUUUCUUACCAAAAGACACUUUCAGGUAGAAAAUCCGGUGUAUUAACUGUGAAAAUUUUAGAGUUGCACGAGGAAUGUGCCAUGCAGGUUGCCAUGUGUGAGCAGUUACUGGGACCACCAGCCACCAGCCCCUCCCGAGGUGUGGCCUCCAGGCCUGGGGCUGGCCUGAAAGUUCUCUUCACCAAGGAGACUGCAGGCUACCUCAGGGGCCGUCCCCAGGACGUCGUCCGGAUCUUCCCUCCCUGGCAAAAACUAAUUAUUCCAAAUGGAAGCUGCCCUGUUAUUCUGAAUACUUAUUUUUGUGAGAAAGUUGUUGCCAAAGAAGAUUCAGAAAAAGCUUGUGAAGUGUACUGUCCGGACAUACCCCUUCCAAGAAGAAGCAUCUCUUUGGCCCAGAUGUUUGUAGUUAAGGGUCUAACAAAUAAUUCACCUGAAAUUCAGGUUAUGUGUAGUGGUAUAGCCACCACGGGGACAGCCUGGACCCACUGGCAUAAAGAAGCAAAACAACAUAUCCCAAUCGAUGCUCCCCUGAGGGAUUCUCUCUUGGACGUGGUGGAAAGCCAGGGAGCUGCCUCGUGGUCAGGAGCUGGGGUCCGAGUGGUGGUGCAAAGAGUAUACUCUCUUCCCAGCAGAGACAGCACCAGGGGUCAGCAGGGGACCAGCACAGGACACACAGAGUCAACUGGAACUCGAAUCUGCCUUCUAGUACAAGAUGCCUGUGGAAUGUUUGGUGAAGUACACUUGGAGUUCACCAUGUUGAAGGCAAGACAGUUGGAAGGGAAGUGUUGCAGCCUGGUGGGAAUGAAGGUUCUACAGAAAGCCACCAGAGGAAGGACAGCAGGGAUCUUCAGUCUGAUUGACACCCUGUGGCCCCCAGCGGUAACUCUGAAAACACUUGGCCAUGACCAGCCCUGUGAAGAGAUAAAAACUCAUCUACCUCCUCCAGCCUUAUGUUAUAUCCUCACAGCUCAACCGAGUCUGGGACAAAUUGAUAUAAUUGACGGAGACCCCAUUUCUAACCUUUACCAGCCUCCAGUUACUCGCUGCUUACGAGACAUUCUCCAGAUGAAUGAUCUUGGUACCCGUUGCAGUUUCUAUGCCAGGGUGAUUUAUCAAAGACCACAGCUAAAGAGUCUGCUUUUUCUGGAGCAAAGGGAGAUCUGGCUACUGGUGACCGACGUCACCCUGCAAACUAAGGAGGAGAGUGACCCCAGGCUCCCUAAAACCCUGCUGGUCUAUGUGACCCCCUUGUGUGUGCUGGACUCUGAAGUCCUAGAGGCACUGGCUGGGACUGCCUCUCACAGCAUUCUCUUCAAAGAUGCUCUCCGAGACCAGGGUCGGAUUGUUUGUGCUGAAAGGACUGUCCUCUUGCUUCAGAAGCCCCUUUUGAGUGUGGGCUCUGGUGUAAGCUCCUGUGAGCUGCCUGGCCCGGUGACGCUCGACAGCCUGGACCCUGCCACACCUGUCAACUCCAUCUGUAGUGUUCAAGAGAAAUACUGAAGAAUGGAAAUAUGGUCUUGGCCAGGAAUGGCAGGAUUCUUUUUUUUCCCCUCAACUUUUAAGUUCCGGGGUACAUGUGCAGGAUGUGCAGGUCAUUUUGCCUCUCCAUAUAAACUUCGGAAUCAACUUGUUGAUAUCCGCAAAACAACUUGAUGGGAUUUUGAUUGGAGUUUGCAAUACACUUUAUAGCCACUUUCAAAUAACACUGUCCUGCUUCACAGGUAAUACGGGUACCUCAUCUCAAGAGUGUUCCCAAUCCUUUUCUUUCUUUCCCAUCCCAUGUAACUGCUGUUACGCAUCUCAGUUACUCAAAAGGUGUAAUCAUUGAUUACAUUAUUAGUAUUUAAAUAAAUGAUUAUCUUUUCUAUCACUUUAGAAUUCGAUAUGUACAAGAUUUUAUUUCACCUUCAUUUAUUCCUUCUCUAAUAUUCUUCCUUUCUUUAUAUAGAUCCCCAUUUUUAACAUUUCAUUUUCCUCAUAUGUUGCCAUUUUCAUGUAGCAUUCCCUGUGGGCCUCUUCUGCCUCCAGGCCUGCUCCACAGCUGCCCUGCAGGCCCACAUGUAGGGCUCAGGAUUUGUAAACAGACUUAUCACAGAGGCAGGGCCAAGUGCUGCCAGAUCCACUCAUGAGAACCAGUCAACUGGGCAUUAAGAGAAAACAAAGCCCCAGCUGCAAAAUAGCAGAGAUUAUCCAAGCCUCACCGACAGGCAUGUCCAUAGCAAGGUAGCAGCUAGGCAGUGACCUGCACUUAUGCAGUCCUUAGCUUGCACACCGGCCAGCCACGGGCCUGCCCAACUCCAUCAAAUCCAUCCAAGGCUGGAGCCCUCACUGCUCUUUGACAAUAGCAGUUGUCCCCAUCUCAGCACCUCAGCCUUGAUCUGCUCCUCCCUGCCCUGGCCCGGAAGGUCUCAGUGAUGACAUGUUCCCUGCAUGGCUCCAAGGGGACUCCUUCACAUCUGCAGAGAGUUGGUGCUAGGGCUUGGGCCGCUGUCAUCAGCAGCUGAACCAGCUGAGCUUCUGAACAUUUUCUCUGAGCAGAGCUUGAAAAGACCCUGAACAUACUCUGAGCAUGGAGCACUCACUUACUGAGAGCUGGCAGCAUCCCUCUGUCCAUCCAAGCCUCAGUGACAGGGUGAAUGGGAGGCGCUCACUCCUUGCUGGAGUCACAAGGCCUCCUCAUCUCUGUGCUCCCUGAAUGGCAGCUCUGGGAUGUGUGGAAACAUUUUUCUGCUGUGUCUUCUGGGGUGAAAUCGUUUUGUAGCACUGCUUUCCCUCCUUCACACUGCUCACCCCCUCUCUAUCCACCACUCACUAGCGAUGGGACCUGGCACAGGGCUGCGGGAAGGGAUGCAGCAAGCUCACAUCUCUGUGGAAGGUGGGGCAAAGUCCUGUCUAAAACCAGGUUCUAGCCUCUAAAGAGAAGACUUGUGAGCCCUGACUUCUUUCCAUCUGGAGAUAAGGAGGAAGAGGGCACAGCAGAGUUCAAGUUACUGAAGAAAUGUGUGCACCAGGUUGUGGUGAACGCCAGACCCACCCAUCCUGAGGACCCUUUGAAAGGACCUUUUUAAAAAGAUAUGUUUGUAACUAAGCGAUACACCUUUCCCAAACCUAAUUGCAAGACAUUUCUGCACGUAAGACAAGCAACAACUUAAUGGCAAACUGCUGGCAAGCUCAUGAGUGUGGUGUCCUCAACCCUGAUGUAAACUAUCUUUUUCUUUCUGAUGUUCAUUUCAAUGAAUGUUUAAUCAUACACUUCCCAGCCAUCUCUUGAAAUGUAUUUAGGGUUGCCAGAAAAGAUUUCCAAUGGCUUAUGGACCUCAGAUGAAAUGCAUUUCCUCAACUCUUGCCUUGUUCUCUAAUUGGAAGGAAAUUGCUUAAUCCCACAUAACGUAAAUGCUAUUAACACCCAUGGAUAUCCUAGGAUAAAAGGGAACUUUGGCUGGUAGCAGUCAUUUACCAAGCACCGGGUAAACCAGGCAGUGGGCCUGUGCUGGGCCUGCAGGCCCUGGGCGGGAGCCAGGUGGUGCGGGGCGUGCUCUGGGGCUUAGGGAAGCGGCCACUCCGUUUUCCCUUUGUACCUCCUCCUGCGCCUGCCUGUUGUGAAUUAGUCAACACUGUGUUCCGGCUCCAUUAUGAGCCUUUAUUGACUUUGCUUUUCAUCCCUUUGACUCACUUUGACAAUGUCAUUAGCCUUUUCAAAAUCAAGAUCUAUUAUUUUCAUUUUUUAAAAGUAAGUCAAGUAUGCAUUGCAUGAAUGCACUUUAAUGAACCAAGCUACUCAUUCUCAUACCUCUGCUUUAUCCUCUAAAGAUAAAUUUCUCCUAACGCUUAUUCUAGUGUGGAAUGAAAUUUUUUUGCUCCAAGAGUGGAAAGGAAGACCCUUCUAUUUUUCUAGAAACUUCCUUUUACUUUUUCUUCAAACAUCUAAUUUCACCACUUUUCAACAAGGAUGUCUGAUUUGCCGCUCUCUCUAGAUGAUAUUACAAUGCUUCACAUCCAGGAAAAUCAAACCAUCUCAAUCCCCAGCAAGCACGAGCAAGCUCACCCAGCCUCACCCUGGCCAUGCUGUGCACAGUCGGCCAAGGCCCCAUGUGGCCUGCACUGGCUGGCUGGCGGACCCCCUCACUCCCUUCCUCAGGAAGCCUUCCGUGACCCUCUGGGAAGCCCAGGGGUGUCUCUGACACACGUCUCAGAUGUCUUUCAUUUGUCAAUUUAUUUCAUUUUUUGUGGGGGGGGAGAAGGUGGGGGACAGGGUCUUCCCUAUCUCCCAGGCUGGAGUGCAGUGGCAUAGUCACAGCUCAGACACUCAUUACUGUGUUAAGGAGUCUAUAUACUAUGAUUAUGCUACAGAAAAAGCACAGACCUAAGUAUGCCAUAUGGGGAAUGUUUGAGGGACUGUGACAGGGCACCUCAGAGGAGUAUCGGUAAGACAGCAUAGUCUUCCAGCAACCAGAAAGGAGGACGAGACAGCACACAGGCGGCUCCGCUGUGGCGAUCUAACUAUGCACCUGGAGAAAGAGCCCAAUGAAAAGACUUCGGUUAGGCGGUAAUAUGCGGGCAAGUUUUAAAACCUACUUUUUAUUGUCAUCAUUUUUCUUUGUACAAUAAAUGGAAAUUAUAAAAACUUAGGAGCAUUUAUAUAAACUCACAAGUAAGGGAAAAAAAAAUCAUGAGGCCCCUCAUGUUGUCAUCUGCACGUGGAGGAGCAGAGGAACCGGAGAGGCAGGAGCACCUCUGAGGUGGGCUUUUCUUCCCUUGGGUCUAGGCACUGUGGUUGGCGUGGACGAGAGCACUGCUUUCUCAUGGCCUGUGUGUGACUGGUGUGGCAACGGGAGAUUGGAACAGAGGCCGGAAGACAGAGGCGCCUUUUCCUGUGGGGACUGCUCCCGGGUGGUCACAGCUCCUGUUCUCAAGA